CGGCGAACCUCUACUCAGUGACGACCUGCAGAGCUGUCAGCAUGGACUGAUCACACAUCUUUGUCUGCUGUCACCUAAAACACCUGCCUGAUGGAUCCUGAGGGAUUGCUGUGCUCCAUUUAAAAUCCCCAACUACACCACUGAUGAACAUCUACACUGGGAUUGAUGGGAAAGAUUGGGACAAACACAGAGCCAAGACCAGCCUUGCACGUCCUCAGACCAGCCCACCUUGCAGCAUUCAGAUCUUCCACCGUCAACCUCCGUGACUUCAGCCAAGCUGUUUCACUUUCCAGCCCUGUGCCAGCCUGAUGACCAAGAUCCUUCUGCCUUUAUAAUGUGCCUUACUAUAACUGCUCUGUAUGUAUCAGCCACCAGAGUUCUUAAAGAAAGCUUUUGUUUUUGCCUUUUUCAUGUUUCUUUGUAUCUGGAUGUUUUACUAAAAGACACACGCAUGAAUCGUCUGAACUGAAAAAAAUCGACUAACUGAAAGAAAUGAGUGAGAAUUUGUUUAUUGUUGUUUUAUUUAUGUCAGCUUUAGGUGACGGUGACACUGUUGUUUACCAAAUUGUAUUAAAAUGAAUAUAACUCCACAUCUGUUUGGCACAGUUAACCCUACACCUGAGUUUAGUUACCAGGAUGUUUUACUUUGAGGAUGACUCUAGUUUUUAUCCACAAUUGAAACUUUAAGAAGACGUGUUUAGAGUCGCAUAGAGUAACAAAGAGCCAGAGUUCACAAAGUGUGCUCAGAGUCCACUUUUGAAUAGGUUCAGGUUACCUCUCUCUAUACCUGUGAAAGGCAGCCAUUGCACUGGCUGCACAUGAAGGAGAAUAAGGAAUGUCAGUAAUAUUUGUUCUAAACUCAGUUUUUAUUGAAUCCUUCUCUCUGGAAAAUAAAUAUUCAUGUUCUGAUCCAUGUUGAAAAAGUCAUGGAUGGACACAGUAGCAACAUAAUUGUGCUAAGUGAUCAUAUAUUCACUACAAAUGUCCAUUUUGUUUGGGGAUUUAACAUAAAUGAACUAAACAUAAGUUGAAGUAUUUGUUUGUUUUGCGUUUGUUUAUGUUUUUUAUUUCUCACUAAAAUGCCAUGUUCAAAGUUGUCCAUAAUAUUCUUCAGUAAUGAAUAACAAUCCCUUCUGCUUUUUGCACGUCUUUACCUGAAUUUUAAACCUCUUUGGCAACUGUAUCCUUGUCUUUGAGGUUGGAAAGUGUUCAUGUGAUGUGAAUAAAGAAAAUAUAGAAUCCUG